AGACAGCCUGUUGGAAAAGGACUGGAGUGGAUUGUCACAGAGAAGCUCUCACUGGAUCAUCUUCAACAUCAACAUGUUCUCUAUAUCUGUGCUGCUGCUGCUGGCUGCUGGAUCCUGUGUGAAGUGUGAACAGCUGACACAACCAGCCUCUUUGACUGUGCAGCCAGGUCAAACUCUGAGCAUCAGCUGUCAGGUCUCGUAUUCGUUGACCAGCUAUCCAACUGCUUGGAUCAGACAACCUGCAGGAAAAGCACUUGAAUGGAUGGGUAUAAUUUGGACUGGUGGAGACACGACAUAUGCCCAAAGUCUCCAAGGUCGUAUCGAAAUCACCAGAGACACAAAUAAGAAAAUAGUAGAUCUGAGACUGUCUACCAUGAAACCAGAAGAGUCUGCUGUGUAUUACUGUGCCAGACGCGCACUGUGGUUAAUAUGAGCAGCGAGACCAUACAAAAACUCCUUACAGUGCACAAGUGACAUUAGCCUGAAUAUAAAAACUGAGCAUCAUGAUAAAACUGUGGUUUGAGAUUUCCUGUUUCUCAGCUUCAUUGGCAGGUGGUUCAAC